AAAAAAUAAAAUUUACCAUCUUAACCAUGUAUGAGUGUACAGUUCAGUAGUGUUAAAUGUGUUCACAUUGUUGUGAAACAGAUCUUCAGACCUUUUUCAUCCUGCAAAUCG